CCGUGCUUGGGCUGAGAAAACGGCAUAAAGAAAAUGACUAAUCAGGACAAUGCAUGAGAAUUAUGUCUCGCUCCUUUUCGCUUGAGGAACAAGCUUCUCUGUUUUCACGCGAAGGCUCAUUUGACCCUAUCAGUCCACUGACAAGUGAGCUUCGUUUCUUAUCACACGAAGAACCAAGGUCUGAGGGUUAUGACGAAUACUUUGAUCCGCCGUUGGAAAGCAAAUAUGAAUGUCCUAUUUGUCUUCUGGGGCUGCGAGAACCCGUGCAAACAACUUGCGGCCACAGAUUCUGUAAAGGCUGUAUUGUACGUUCUAUAAGGGAUGCUGGUCCAAAAUGUCCUGUAGAUAAUGAGCGUUUGAGUGAAGCACAGCUCUAUCCAGACAAUUUUGCCAAAAGGGAAAUGUUGUCUCAUGAUGUUUUCUGUCGAAUGAAAAAACAGCGUGGUUGCCCAUGGAAGGGACCCCUUGGCAAGUUAGAGGAACACUCAGACGAGUGCCCAUUUGUUGAUGUAAAUUGUCCCAAGGAGUGUGGACAACAGCUACAAAGGAAAGAUCUUAAACAACAUUUAGAACAAGACUGCCCAUUCAGGACAAUACCAUGUAAAUACUGCAAAAAGGAUGUACCCUGGAAUGCAGUGGAGAUGCACCAUGAAACCUGUCCCAAAUUUCCAGAACAGUGUAAAAAUUGCAAAAAGGAAAACAUUAAAAGAGAUGAGAUGAAAGAACAUUUGGAUAAAGAAUGCCCUGUUGUGAAAGUCGUAUGUCCUUUUAGUAUUGUGGGAUGCACAUUUACGGGUAAACGAUCUGAGGUGAAUCAACAUGUUAAUGAACAGAUGGCAAGCCAUGUAAUGGACAUGGCCAAGAAAAUUGGCCAAAUUAUAUCAGAAGGUACUCGCGCUGAGGUGCACAGAGGUGCUUCAACAGGACGUGCCAGGGGUGGAAUGGAAUCUCUUCCUCAAGAACAGGCCAGCCAGGAAGGAUUUUUCAAUGAGUUGUCAACCAGGACCCAGCAUCAGCGAAAUGAAAUAGAUGACAUAAGACGUACUGUCACUGGUCUUCAUAAUAGUGUAAAUCAUCUAGAACGCCAGGUAGAGGAAGCACGUAUCAGGCAAGAGAGGCCAGUUCAAGAAUUGACCCUAAGAUUUAACCGUUAUGAAACAAGAUUGUUAGAGUAUGAAGGACGUGUCUGUAAUGGAUCAUACAUAUGGAGGAUAGAAAAUUAUCGACAGUGCCGCCAAGAUGCUAUCAAUGGAGUCAUGACAGCAAUACAUAGCCCUGCCUUCUACACCAACCUGUAUGGGUACAAGCUCUGUAUGCGGAUCAAUCUGAAUGGCGUGGACAGCGGAGUGGGUAAACACGUUGCACUCUUUGUUCAUAUGAUGCAGGGUGAUUACGAUACCAUCUUGGAAUGGCCCUUCACUGGAAGGAUUGCUCUGUCCAUCAUGGAUCAGUCUGAUGGUGCUGAGUACCGCCAACACAUCAGUGAAACCCUUGUAGCUAAACCCAACCUCUUGGCAUUUCAAAGGCCAACAGCCCCUCGCAAUUACAAAGGUUAUGGGUAUGUAGAAUUUGCUCCAAUAGAACAAAUCCGUGAGCCGCAGUAUGUGAAGAACAAUACCAUGUUGGUCCGCAUACAGAUCUUUCAUUAAUUAUGUCCUGGUGCGGAUGCAGAGAGGACCCUUCAUGACAACGAUGGCGUGCUAUCCAUAUUUGUUGUCACGUGUUUACAAGUGGAUUUCCUCAUUCUGGUCUACACUCUACUCUUCUUGUCAUAAAUGAUCAUUUCUCCAUCCACAUAAGAAUACAAUUAAUUUAAGGUUUGUUUACGAACAUGUUCUGUAAUGGAAUUAUAAUGCUAAUUAUGUUUUGACUUGUAGCUAGUCGUGACGUGUAAUUGUUUACGUUAAGAAACAGUGAUGGCCUGGGACUAGCGAGAAUGCACGAGCGACUUUUGUAGGUGACGAGAACGUGAAGUGCAGGUCGCUAGUAAAAAUAAUGAUGCAAAUUUAAAUCAGAGGUUAACGCUAAUUUUUGAAUUGAAAGAAGUCGGAAAAGUGUUCCGUUUAAGCGGCAGAGGUAGCGUUAUGACGAAUUAAAGCGACUUUUGUAGGUGACGAGAACGUGAAGUGCAGGUCGCUAGUAAAAAUAAUGAUUCAAAUUUAAAUCAAAGAGGUUAACGCUAACUUUUGAAUUGAAAGAAGUCGGAAAAGUGUUCCGAUUAAGCGGCAGAGGUAGCGUUAUGACACAAGGCGAAGAUGACUUGAAAGGAAAUACAUUUCCUUCCCAGUUGUCUUUUCAACGUGGCAAAUUAAGUUUUCAGCCGCCACACCCGCCCAGGCUGUCACUGUUUACUUAUCACCUUUUUUGUUUUUCUUCGUUGUUCAAGAAUUUUGAAUUUUUGUCCUUUAAAUGCUGAUUACGUAAGAGACUAGCUACCUAAAAGUCAAUACUAGUUUGGGUUUGGGGAAAUUGUGAUGGCAAUCGAGAUAACAAAGAGGAAUUGUUCUACUCCUGCGGAGUCGUAGUAAAAUGACUGUAAAUGCUAGACCACGCGCGAGUCUUAAUUAAUCUGAUAAUUAAUCGGUGAAGUUAUCGUUUUUAUACACAUCACUAUAUUACCUAGAAAGAUGACCCAGUCUCUGCCACUAGUUAAUAACAUUUUUUACCACAAUUGCUACUAAUCUCGCAAUCUGAUUGGCUAAGUUGUCGUUGUCGAUAAGUGUCCGGACAACGCUGCUCGUAGAAAUUCCGGUCUAACGUACGUGAACUACAAAAUAGCAUAACCUAUGACCUAAGACAAGAAGAAACUGUACAUACCAAAGUUCCUGGGUAUAAGUCGUCUCAAGUGAAUUAAUCUGUUUUGUAUUCUUCAGUACUUUCCUUGAUACACGGUUAGUCACGAAAUGAAAAAUAAUCCAGCCUGAUACGUAACAGCUGCUGAUUGAUAGGAGCUACUAUCACCAAUCCACCAAGUGAGAUUGUGAAAAAUUUUACCGUGGCGUUGAUUAUACUGUGAGAAAUUCAGUGCUUUUCGCAUCCAGUGAUUUUGACAAAACCUGCAUUUGACAACUGACACAGAAAGUGAAAGACAGGUGACAGCCGAAGUAAUUUCAAGCAAGACACGGAAAAAAAAGAAUUGCCAAAGGAAUGGGAGACCGUAUGGAAAUCGUCCCAGUGCUUGCGAAAUUCUUGUUGAU